rnacentral:lncRNA from 1 species
GGCUAGCGAAAUCGGCGAACGAGGUGGUGCUUGUGAUCGAGGCUUAUAAGGCGCUUCGUGACAGGGCACCUUACCCUGCUAAUCAUGUUGUUGGCCACCUCAGUGGGAGCUUUGCUUUCAUCGUAUUUGACAAGUCCACCUCCACCUUAUUCGUUGCUUCUGUAAGUACUAGUGCCUAGUUAACAGUACUGUUGACGAUCUUGAUUUUGUUUUAAUUAAUAUUUCAUUUGGGAUGUAUAUAGGAUCAAUUCGGGAAGGUGCCACUGUACUGGGGAAUCACAGCUGACGGGUACGUGGCGUUUGCUGAUGAUGCCGAGCUGCUGAAAGGUGCCUGUGGCAAGUCCCUCGCUUCUUUCCCUCAAGGAUGCUUUUUCUCGACUGCGGUUGGUGAGCUGAGGAGCUUCGAGAAUCCAAAGAACAAGAUCACUGCUGUUCCUGCCAAAGAAGAGGAGAUGUGGGGUGCAACCUUUAAGGUAUCAACUAAAUAGCUUGAAUUCAAGUUUGGUCAGCUUUGAAAAAUGAUACCUUCUAUCGUCUGUGGUGGGAUCAUGUUAUGGAAAUGUUGCUUAUAUACACAAAUACAUAUAUAUGAUCAGGUGGAAGGGCCAGCAGCAGUCCUUGCCGUCACAAAAUAGGUGGGUGGGGGAAGUCUAUGCAUGAGUCGGUCAAUGUGUAUAACCAUAAAGAAGAAGAAAAGUGGAAGAGUCAGUACUGAGUGAUGGAUGUUGUGUAAUUCUGGAUAAUGGUACGCGUGAGUCUUCUAUGCUUUGUUUAGUUUAGUUCUGCAUUUGUGGUGUUUGCGUACAGUGGAGAAGUGUCUUAAUUUCCUGCAGCUUAAUAAAUGUAGAAGGAAAGUACUGAUGGAAACAAGUUUGUUUGAUCCAUUUGUUUUCCACUCUUUCCAUCGGUUGGUGGAUAGUGGUUUGGAAAACAUCGAUGGGUCUUUGUUUAUACCGCCUGCGGGUUCCUGUCAUACCUUUCCCAUUUAAUUACACAACAAUGAUCUUAUAUGUUAUUUAACACGGCUACUGCUUUAGCACAAUAUUAAACUGAGAAUGAUAGCUGCAUUCUCAAAACUGGUAAUGUAAUUAAUGUGAUG